rnacentral:rRNA from 1 species
CUCAGUUCGGAUCGAAGUCUGCAACCCGACUUCGUGAAGCUGGAUUCGCUAGUAAUCGCGCAUCAGCCACGGCGCGGUGAAUACGUUCCCGGGCCUUGUACACACCGCCCGUCAAGCCAUGGGAGCCGGGGGUACCUGAAGUACGUAACCGCAAGGAGCGUCCUAGGGUAAAACUGGUGACUGGGGCUAAGUCGUAACAAGGUAAC